CGGACGGGUGAGUAACGCGUGAGAAUCUGGCUUCAGGUCUGGGACAACCACUGGAAACGGUGGCUAAUACCGGAUGUGCCGAGAGGUGAAAGGUUAACUGCCUGAAGAUGAGCUCGCGUCUGAUUAGCUAGUUGGCAGUGUAAUGGACUACCAAGGCGACGAUCAGUAGCUGGUCUGAGAGGACGAUCAGCCACACUGGGACUGAGACACGGCCCAGACUCCUACGGGAGGCAGCAGUGGGGAAUUUUCCGCAAUGGGCGAAAGCCUGACGGAGCAAUACCGCGUGAGGGAGGAAGGCUCUUGGGUCGUAAACCUCUUUUCUCAGGGAAGAACACAAUGACGGUACCUGAGGAAUAAGCAUCGGCUAACUCCGUGCCAGCAGCCGCGGUAAUACGGAGGAUGCAAGCGUUAUCCGGAAUGAUUGGGCGUAAAGCGUCCGCAGGUGGCAAUGUAAGUCUGCUGUUAAAGAGUCUAGCUCAACUAGAUAAGAGCAGUGGAAACUACAUAGCUAGAGUACGUUCGGGGCAGAGGGAAUUCCUGGUGUAGCGGUGAAAUGCGUAGAGAUCAGGAAGAACACCAGUGGCGAAGGCGCUCUGCUAGGCCGUAACUGACACUGAGGGACGAAAGCUAGGGGAGCGAAUGGGAUUAGAUACCCCAGUAGUC
rnacentral:rRNA from 1 species